rnacentral:lncRNA from 1 species
AUGACGAUUUUAUGUCAAUCAUAUGUACAAGAAAAACGAAGUGGAGGAGGCAACGGCUGCCGGCAUUAUUGGAAAUUUCAACUUCAAUUGAAAACGAUAAAUGAAGACUGGAGAGAGAGAGCAUAGAACAAAGUUGUCAACCACACCACAGAGAACCUUCUCAUUCUUCAGGGGUCGUCAUUUUGUUGGGCUCUCACGAUGUGAACCAAGCUAGUCUGUAUAGCGGUUGA